rnacentral:rRNA from 1 species
CUCAAAAGGAUUGACGGGGGCCCGCACAAGCGGCGGAGCAUGUGGAUUAAUUCGAUGCAACGCGAAGAACCUUACCUGGGUUUGACAUAUACCGGAAAGCUGCAGAGAUGUGGCCCCCCUUGUGGUCGGUAUACAGGUGGUGCAUGGCUGUCGUCAGCUCGUGUCGUGAGAUGUUGGGUUAAGUCCCGCAACGAGCGCAACCC